UCCUUCCUACCCGACACUAAUUAUUUCCAGUUUUGUAAUUUUUACUUAAUUUUUCCUGUUGCUUCCAGAGAGCUCAUUAAAUAUGAAUUCUUCCCUGAAGCCACUCGAAGUGAAGAAGACUUAAAGAAAUACCCCAAGUACCCCUGGGGGAGAGAAAUCUAUACUUUAGAAGGUGUUGUGGAUGGAGCUCCAUAUUCCAUGAUUUCUGACUUCCCUUGGCUGAGGUCAUUACGAGCUGCAGAGCCCAACAGCUUCGCUCGAUACGACUUUGAAGACGAUGAAGAAAGUAAUUAUGACCUGACUUGACAUCUAUUCUCUAGUUUAAGUAUAGCCUACUGUGUUACAUACUUAAUAUCUUUUUGUGAGUUAGGAGCAGUGCAGUGUUAAAUGGUUUCCCAUAGAAAUAAUUUGUAUUUACUCACUUCAAAACAGUUCUUUAUUUGUGCAGUAGAUGUUCAGUGGACUUACUAGGGAUAUAUAAAGGCUGGUAGAAAGGAUUCCUUUAGACAGAUUUUCCUACAAGAUUUUUGUAUUACCUAAAUAUUUAUAAU
rnacentral:sRNA from 1 species